GCGGGUAUGGUGAAAUGGUCUCAUGAAUCCUUCCCAAGGAUUAGUCGCGGGUUCGAUUCCCGCUACCCGCU
rnacentral:tRNA from 1 species